UAGGACAUGGUGUAAAUAGGGUAGCACGAAGAAUUUUGAAUUCUUAAGUUUAGGUUCGAUUCCUAUUGUUCUAG
rnacentral:tRNA from 1 species